rnacentral:rRNA from 1 species
AGAGUUUGAUCCUGGCUCAGGACGAACGCUGGCGGCGUGCCUAAUACAUGCAAGUCGAGCGGACAGAUGGGAGCUUGCUCCCUGAUGUUAGCGGCGGACGGGUGAGUAACACGCGGGUAACCUGCCUGUAAGACUGGGAUAACUCCGGGAAACCGGGGCUAAUACCGGAUGGUUGUUUGAACCGCAUGGUUCAAACAUAAAAGGUGGCUUCGGCUACCACUUGCAGAUGGACCCGCGGCGCAUUAGCUAGUUGGUGAGGUAAUGGCUCACCAAGGCAACGAUGCGUAGCCGACCUGAGAGGGUGAUCGGCCACACUGGGACUGAGACACGGCCCAGACUCCUACGGGAGGCAGCAGUAGGGAAUCUUCCGCAAUGGACGAAAGUCUGACGGAGCAACGCCGCGUGAGUGAUGAAGGUUUUCGGAUCAUAAAGCUCUGUUGUUAGGGAAGAACAAGUGCCGUUCGAAUAGGGCGGUACCUUGACGGUACCUAACCAGAAAGCCACGGCUAACUACGUGCCAGCAGCCGCGGUAAUACGUAGGUGGCAAGCGUUGUCCGGAAUUAUUGGGCGUAAAGGGCUCGCAGGCGGUUUCUUAAGUCUGAUGUGAAAGCCCCCGGCUCAACCGGGGAGGGUCAUUGGAAACUGGGGAACUUGAGUGCAGAAGAGGAGAGUGGAAUUCCACGUGUAGCGGUGAAAUGCGUAGAGAUGUGGAGGAACACCAGUGGCGAAGGCGACUCUCUGGUCUGUAACUGACGCUGAGGAGCGAAAGCGUGGGGAGCGAACAGGAUUAGAUACCCUGGUAGUCCACGCCGUAAACGAUGAGUGCUAAGUGUUAGGGGGUUUCCGCCCCUUAGUGCUGCAGCUAACGCAUUAAGCACUCCGCCUGGGGAGUACGGUCGCAAGACUGAAACUCAAAGGAAUUGACGGGGGCCCGCACAAGCGGUGGAGCAUGUGGUUUAAUUCGAGGCAACGCGAAGAACCUUACCAGGUCUUGACAUCCUCUGACAAUCCUAGAGAUAGGACGUCCCCCUCGGGGGCAGAGUGACAGGUGGUGCAUGGUUGUCGUCAGCUCGUGUCGUGAGAUGUUGGGUUAAGUCCCGCAACGAGCGCAACCCUUGAUCUUAGUUGCCAGCAUUCAGUUGGGCACUCUAAGGUGACUGCCGGUGACAAACCGGAGGAAGGUGGGGAUGACGUCAAAUCAUCAUGCCCCUUAUGACCUGGGCUACACACGUGCUACAAUGGACAGAACAAAGGGCAGCGAAACCGCGAGGUUAAGCCAAUCCCACAAAUCUGUUCUCAGUUCGGAUCGCAGUCUGCAACUCGACUGCGUGAAGCUGGAAUCGCUAGUAAUCGCGGAUCAGCAUGCCGCGGUGAAUACGUUCCCGGGCCUUGUACACACCGCCCGUCACACCACGAGAGUUUGUAACACCCGAAGUCGGUGAGGUAACCUUUUAGGAGCCAGCCGCCGAAGGUGGGACAGAUGAUUGGGGUGAAGUCGGAACAAGGUAGCCGUAUCGGGGUGCGGCUG